GACGAACGCUGGCGGCGUGCUUAACACAUGCAAGUCGAACGGAAAGGCCCUGCUUUUGUGGGGUGCUCGAGUGGCGAACGGGUGAGUAACACGUGAGUAACCUGCCCUUGACUUUGGGAUAACUUCAGGAAACUGGGGCUAAUACCGGAUAGGAGCUCCUGCUGCAUGGUGGGGGUUGGAAAGUUUCGGCGGUUGGGGAUGGACUCGCGGCUUAUCAGCUUGUUGGUGGGGUAGUGGCGUACCAAGGCUUUGACGGGUAGCCGGCCUGAGAGGGUGACCGGCCAAAUUGGGACUGAGAUACGGCCCAGACUCCUACGGGAGGCAGCAGUGGGGAAUAUUGCACAAUGGGCGGAAGCCUGAUGCAGCAACGCCGCGUGCGGGAUGACGGCCUUCGGGUUGUAAACCGCUUUCGCCUGUGACGAAGCGUGAGUGACGGUAAUGGGUAAAGAAGCACCGGCUAACUA
rnacentral:rRNA from 1 species